UACGAAGGGUGCAAGCGUUACUCGGAAUUACUGGGCGUAAAGCGUGCGUAGGUGGUUCGUUAAGUCUGAUGUGAAAGCCCUGGGCUCAACCUGGGAAUGGCAUUAGAUACUGGCGAUCUAGAGUGCGGUAGAGGGCAGUGGAAUUCCCGGUGUAGCAGUGAAAUGCGUAGAGAUCGGGAGGAACAUCUGUGGCGAAGGCGACUGCCUGGACCAGCACUGACACUGAGGCACGAAAGCGUGGGGAGCAAACAGG
rnacentral:rRNA from 1 species